UACGGAGGGUGCAAGCGUUGUUCGGAAUCACUGGGCGUAAAGGGCGUGUAGGCGGUCCGGCUAAGUCUGAUGUGAAAGCCCGGGGCUCACCCCCGGAAGGGCAUUGGAAACUGGCGAACUCGAGUCCCGGAGAGGAGGGUGGAAUUCCCGGUGUAGCGGGUGAAAUGCGUAGAUAUCGGGAGGAACACCGGCGGCGAAGGCGGCCCUCUGGACG
rnacentral:rRNA from 1 species